GAUGAACGCUGGCGGCGUGCCUAAUACAUGCAAGUCGAGCGAACGGACGAGAAGCUUGCUUUUCUGAUGUUAGCGGCGGACGGGUGAGUAACACGUGGAUAACCUACCUAUAAGACUGGGAUAACUUCGGGAAACCGGAGCUAAUACCGGAUAAUAUUUUGAACCGCAUGGUUCAAAAGUGAAAGACGGUCUUGCUGUCACUUAUAGAUGGAUCCGCGCUGCAUUAGCUAGUUGGUAAGGUAACGGCUUACCAAGGCAACGAUGCAUAGCCGACCUGAGAGGGUGGUCGGCGACACUGGAACUGAGGCGCGGGCCUGAGUCCUAAGGUAGGCAGCAGUAGCGAAUCGUAGGCAAUGGGCGGAAGCCUGGCGGAGCAACGUCGCGUGAGUGAUGAAGGUCUUCGGAUCGUAAAGCUCUGUUAUUAGGGAAGAACAUAUGUGUAAGUAACUGUGGACAGCUUGACGGUACCUAAUCAGAAAGCCACGGCUAACUACGUG
rnacentral:rRNA from 1 species